ACACAAGAAGAGAAAAGAGUUUAUUGGAGGGUUACAUAAUUUUUUGAGUCAAAUAUCAUGUAAAGCUGCCCUUGAAGAAACAAACUAGUGGCCGCCUCCUUUUCCAAAGCAGCAGCACAUAUCCAAGACAUAACCACAAGAUAGCUAUGGUGUUGGAGGAUCCAUCCCCUGAUCAGAUUUCAGGUUCCACUCAACUAAUCAUCCCUCCAGUUGGUUUGAUGGAGCUUGGGUGAUUGAACAAUAGUAGCAAUGUGAUUGAGGCAAUAAGGAAUGAGAUUGAUAAAGAGCGUAUAAGGAACGAGAUCAUUGUAGAAGAGGUUGCUUGAAAAGCAGAUGUUGGACUUUGAAAUAAGGAGAGAGCUUAUCAUGGAAAGAGAAAUAGCAAUAUUUGGAGUUGAUAAAUUUGCUUCAUUCUUUAAGAAACAGUCUAACUUCGUGUUGUUUAAGGAAAAGAUGGGAAUGGGCGUCUCUGCUGUGUCUAUACAUGACAUGGAUCACUUCUUAGAGGUUCCUUUUUGCCGCAGUGCUUUGGAACCAAUAAUUCAACAGUGAACCAAAUCCCAAAGGUGGAGAUUUUACAAGUGCAGCCCCCUAGUGUUGGCGGACAGUUGCUGAUGGACGCACUGGGUUAGAAUUUUAAGUUGGUAUUUACUUUCAGCUGUGUGUAGUUUCUCAUGCAUGAAAUUGGCCGAAUCUACUCUGGCUCCGAGCUCUGUGCUGACUAAAUCAGCAACCUAACUAUAAUUGUUGCCCUUGGCUUUAUGCCUUUUUCCUUAGUUUUAUGCCUUCUUGAUAGAUUUUCCUCUUUCUUAGGAUAACCCACACUUCCUUCAUGGUUCUUAUUGUAGCAGUUGAGGCAUGGUUGGAAUUUAAACAUUAUUUGUGGGUCAUCUGAGGGAUUGACACAUUGAAAGACAUUGAAAUAUUGUCUUGUCAGUGUGUAUGUCAGAGAAGGGGCCUUUAAACUAAUGAUUCAUGAAAAACAGAAUCAUCUCUAGUUUGUGAAUCCUGAAACACAGACAGUUAAUGACCUGAAAGUGCAAAGAUUAUUUUUUGUGAAACUAAUGAAUCAUGCCUAGAUUUCCUAA